rnacentral:rRNA from 1 species
AUUGAACGCUGGCGGCGUGCCUAACACAUGCAAGUCGAGCGGUAACAGGUGUAGCAAUACAUGCUGACGAGCGGCGAACGGGUGAGUAAUGCUUCGGAAUCUACCUUAUGGCGGGGAAUAACUAGCCGAAAGGUUAGCUAAUACCGCAUACGUCCUACGGGAGAAAGCAGGGGAUCGCAAGACCUUGCGCCAAAAGAUGAGCCGAAGUCGGAUUAGCUAGUUGGUAGGGUAACGGCCUACCAAGGCGACGAUCCGUAGCUGGUCUGAGAGGACGACCAGCCACACUGGGACUGAGACACGGCCCAGACUCCUACGGGAGGCAGCAGUGGGGAAUAUUGGACAAUGGGGGAAACCCUGAUCCAGCGACGCCGCGUGUGUGAAGAAGGCCUGCGGGUUGUAAAGCACUUUUAGUGGGGAUGAAAUGUGCAGGGCUAAUACCUCUGCAUUUCGACCUAACCCACAGAAAAAGCACCGGCUAACUCUGUGCCAGCCGCCGCGGUAA